GACGAACGCUGGCGGCGCGCUUAACACAUGCAAGUCGAACGAUGAAGCUCUAAUAGAACGCUGCGGGGCGAAGAUACAGUGGAUUAGCGGCGGACGGAUGAGUAACACGUGAUUAACUAGCCCUAGACAUUGGGAUAGCCUCGGGAAACCGGGAUUAAUCCCAAAUAAAAUCAUUAUGACACAUGUCAUAACUUGCAAAACUCCGCUGGUCUUAGAUGGACUCGCGUCGCAUUAGCUAGUUGGUAGAGUAACAGCCUACCAAGGAGACGAUGGGUAGCCGGGCGGAGAGCGUGAACGGCCACGUUGGAACUGAGACACGGACCACACUCGGACGGGAGGCAGCAGUGGGGAAUAUUGCAGAAUGGAGGGAGAUGUGAUGCAGCGACGUGGCGUGAAAGAGGAAGGCGGUCGAGACGUAAAGUUCUUUUAUAUGGGAAGAUAAUGACGGUACCAGAAGAAAAAGCCCCGGCUAACUACGUG
rnacentral:rRNA from 1 species